UACGUAGGGGGCAAGCGUUGUCCGGAAUUAUUGGGCGUAAAGAGCGCGUAGGCGGUCCGAUAAGUCGGCUGUGAAAGUCCAGGGCUCAACCCUGGAAAGCCGGCCGAUACUGUCGGACUAGAGUCCGGAAGAGGCAAGUGGAAUUCCCGGUGUGGCGGUGAAAUGCGCAGAUAUCGGGAGGAACACCAAUUGCGAAGGCAGCUUGCUGGGACGGUACUGACGCUGAGGCGCGAAAGCGUGGGGAGCAAACAGG
rnacentral:rRNA from 1 species